rnacentral:rRNA from 1 species
UAGAGCCUACGGGGGGCAGCAGUGAGGAAUAUUGGUCAAUGGGAGAGAUCCUGAACCAGCCAAGCCGCGUGAGGGAAGACGGCCCUAUGGGUUGUAAACCUCUUUUGUCGGAGAACAAAACCCGGGACGUGUCCCGGACUGCGUGUAUCCGAAGAAAAAGCAUCGGCUAACUCCGUGCCAGCAGCCGCGGUAAUACGGAGGAUGCGAGCGUUAUCCGGAUUUAUUGGGCGUAAAGAGGGAGCAGGCGGCAGCAAAGGUCUGUGGUGAAAGACUGAGGCUUAACUUCAGUAAGCCAUAGAAACCGG